GUCAAAAAAAAAAAAAGAGCCAUUCAUUUUGGCUUUUACGGGUGUUGUGGGCAGAAUGAGAGAGAGCCAAAAAAAAAAUUCUCAAAUUAAAAACAGAGAGAAAGAGAAGAAAAUUUCAGUUUUUUAAGUUUGGUGCAGCAGUGAUCAACUCUUCGAUCGAAGGUCCAUCCGUGGUUCGAUUGAGCUGAUUUUUGGACAGCAGCUAGGCGAUAAGGUGUUCUUGACUUUGUACGGUCGGAUUUUUCAUCCGAGUCUUGUAGCGUCAGAAAUACCCGUUUUUCAGCAGCUACGUUUUUGGUGAUGUUCUCUCAUUUUUCUCUCUUUUGCUAAAGAUUACAUAUUGUUAGCCUUGUCGGAGUUGAAUGCUUGUUGUAGGCUUGAUAUUGUGAUCUUGUAGUCGAACAUUUGAUGAUAGUGGAGCUCUUUAUCGGACUCUAAAGUCCCGUGGUUUUUACCCUUGAUUUAGAGGGGUUUUCCACGUAAAAAUAUCGGUGUUUCUAUUUAUUUUUGUUGUGGUAGCAUUAGUUGAUUAGUGGUUGAUUAAGGUUCCUAGAGAACAUAUUUUGUGCUAUUGUGCUUGCCAUAAUUUUUGACAGGAGUUAUAGGGAGAGAAAGAACACCGGUUGUGCUUUCGCUUUGUUUCGGUUGUUUCGAUUUCUUCCCAACAGACAUAUGAAGUACCUCCGGAUAUUUCUUUUGUCAUUUUACCCUUUUUUUAUUGUUAACGCCUUGAGGACGUGGAUUACGAUGUAAAUGGAUAGAAGAAUCUCUGCAUAUUGACUAUGGUCAUUGAAACAAUUUUUUCUGUCUUUGUAAUGCAAAACAAGGGAUGUACUGUGUAUCGCAUAUGCAGUGAGGACGAAGCAAGAAUGAAGAUAUAAUCAGUUUCAACCAGACAUUACUAUGCAUUUGGUGCUUUGUUGUUUGAAGAGGUCUCAUAAAAGAUCAAAGAACUCCCUGGAGUUCGGUGGGUUCUUCCAGAUUCCUAUCUAGAUGUGAAGAACAAGGAUUAUGGAGGGGAACCUUUCAUUAAUGGGCAAGCUGUGCCUUAUGACCCAAAAAACCAUUGGUGAUGUGUCCUAACCAUGGUGAUGACUAUACAAUAACAGAGCUGAAUCCCAUGGAAUGGAAAUGCAAUAAUGUUCUGCAGGGCAAAAAGGCCACAGCUUACCCUGCAAUGUGCGACAAGCUAUCAGAUCAAAGUCAUAUUGACAACAGAGUAGUGGUGGAUGGCAACCUCAUUACAAGCAGGGGCCCUGGAACUUCCAUCGAGUUUGCAUUAGGAAUCGUGGAGAAGUUUUUCGGACGGCCGAAAGCCUUAGAGCUAGCAAAAGGAUUGCUUGUUGUACGCAAGUAGAUGAACUAGUAUGAAUGUUUGGUCCUGCCCAUGUUACCGUAUAGAAGGUGAGUUUGCAUUCACUCUGCGGUUUUAUGUACGAUAAGUUUGUUUCUUGUUGAUAAAUAAAUGAGUGUUAGAACAAGCUGAGCAACAUGAACACCUUUGGUUCAUCUGUAAUGGCAUCCUUUGUCAAAUAAUAGUGGUUUUAAUUCUUCAA